AGAGAGAGAGAGAGAGAGAGAGAGAAUGAGAAUCUUAAGCAGACUCCACGGGCAUGGAGCCUGACGUGGGGCUUGAUCCCACUACCCUUGGAUCAUGACCUGAGCUGAAAUCAAGAGUUGGACACUCAACUGACUGAGCUACCCAGGCUCCCCACAUUUACAUUUUUUUAAGUUGAGCAGUCUUAUUAUCUGCAAAUAAUUUUGGCUCAAGAAUAAAGGGUGUGAACAAACCUGUUUUUUUGUUUAAUAGUGCUUUUCCCCUUAUCCAUGUGCCUUGAAUAAAUCUUUCCAAGGGAUGUGAAAUUAAGUGAACUAAUGUACAUAAAAGUAGAUAGCAUAUACCAGGAUAUAAAUUUCUCCAUGUAUUGCCUUAGCUGCUUCUCACUAGCUUUGAUAUUUAAAAUUUCUAUGUCAUUCAGUGUAUUAGUGUUCCAUUGCUGUGUACCACAAACUUAGUGGUUUAAAACAAUGCACAUUUUCUCAGGGUUUCUAAAUUUUUUUUUAAUGUUUAUUUUAUUUUUGAGAGACAGAGAGACAGAGUGCAAGCCAGAAAUGCUGACAGCUCAGAGCCUGGAGCCUGCUUCGGAUUCUGUAUCUCCCUCUCUCUCUGCCCCUCCCCUGCUGGUGCUUGAUCUCACUUUCUCUCAAAAAAGAAAAAGAUUUUAUUUUUAAGUAAUCUCUGCACCCAACGUGGGGUUGCACUUACAAUCCUGAGAUCAAACAUUUGAUGCUCUACCCACUGUGCCGGCCAGGCGUCCCUAAAGUAUUGAGAUUUUAUGUUAGGGGACACCUAUAUGAGUUUUCUAUUGGUUCUGUAAUAAAUUAACAUAACCUUAGUGGCUUAAACGACGCAAGUUUAUUACCCUACAGUUCUAUGGAUUAUAAGUUCAACAUGGAUUUUCCUCUGCUAAAGUUAAGGAUUUUCCUGUCAGGAGGAGUACUUUCUUCUCUGUAGGCUCUAAGGGAGAAUCUGUUUCGUUGCCUUUUCCAGCUUCCAGAUGCCGUCCCCGCUCCUUGCCUCCUGUCUCCCUUUCCUCUCAUCUUCACAGCCAGCAAUGGUGUGUGGCUUUCUUGUCACAUCACAUCUCUCUGGAUUCUUCUGCUUUUCACUUAUGGGGACCCUUGCGAUGACAUUUGGCCCACCCGAAUAAUCCAGGAAGUCUCCCCAUUUUUGGGUUAUCUGAUUAGCAACUGUAAUUUCACCAGCACCCUGAAUCCCCUUUUGCCGUGUGAUGUAGCGUGUUCACAGGUUCCAGAGAUUAGAAAGCGGAUAUCUUCCGGUGGGCACGAUUCUGCCUACCACAGCACCUGUGGUACCACGGACAAGGUGUGUGGCUCAGGGGGAUAUACUGCUUAAAGUGAAUUUGCUUUUGAGUCCUUAGAAUCAAGUGAAGUCAGGAGCAGGGAGCAUUAUUUCUGGGGACGUCAUUAACAUGACCUGUGAAAUCUGUGGCCAGAAUCCGAGUGACUAGAAGAAUAAAAGGACAAAGAUCUCAGUUCUGGCCAUUUUCUAAGAGCAGAAGGCAAGGACCAAGGUCCAAGGUACCAAAAUACCAGACCAUGGAAAUCUUCAAAUUGAAGCUAGGAGAUAAACCAUAAAUGGAAAAGGAAAACCAUGCUUGGAGCUUUCCAGAAGUUUGAGAAGUUGGUGAUCAUAUGCAGUGGCCUUUGGAAAUCCAAAACAAGCUAAAGAACAUGGAAAGAUGUACCCCAAUGUUUAUAGAAGCACUUUCAACAAUAGCCAAAUUAUGGAAAGAGCCUAAACGUCCACCAACUGAUGAAUGGAUAAAGAAUUUGUGGUUUAUAUACACAAUGGAAUACUACGUGGCAAUGAGAAAGAAUGAAAUAUGGCCCUUUGUAGCAGCGUGGAUGGAACUGGAGAGUAUGAUGCUAAGUGAAAUAAGUCAUACAGAGAAGGACAGAUUCCAUAUGUUUUCACUCCUAUGUGGAUCCUGAGAAACUUAACAGAAGACCAUGGGGGAGGGGAAGGAAAAAAAAAGUUAGAGAGGGAGGUAGCCAAAACAUAAGAGACUCUUAAAAACUGAG